CUUUGCAUUUACUGCAUUAUGUUACCUGCUUGCUAGCUUGCCAAUUUGUCCAGACGCCGACAGUAACGUUAAUAUUGCCGUUGCUUAGCAGCCGUGUUCUCUAAACUUAACCACUUGAACGCCAAGUAUAUCGUGUUACACAACUUCUCAUGUUGUAAACACAAGCUCACGAGUUCCAUUUGAAGGCACCAAUUAUAACGGUUUGUUCACCAUAACAACUUUAUAGGGUUAUAAUAUGUGU